ACUUAAAUAGCUUAAUUAGAGUAUUACAUUGAAGAUGUAAGGGUAAUUUUUAAAAAUUUUUAAGUA
rnacentral:tRNA from 1 species